UACGUAGGGGGCAAGCGUUAUUCGGAAUUAUUGGGCGUAAAGGGCGCGUAGGCGGCUAGAUGUGUCAAAGGUGAAAUCCCUCGGCUCAACUGAGGAACUGCCUUUGAAACUGUCUGGCUUGAGGCCGGGAGAGGGUAGCGGAAUUCCCAGUGUAGCGGUGAAAUGCGUAGAUAUCUGGAGGAAUACCGGUGGCGAAGGCGGCAUCCUGGACCGAGAUUGACGCUGAUGAGCGAAAGCUAGGGGAGCAAACGGG
rnacentral:rRNA from 1 species